GGUGAUGUAGCUCAGUGGUAGAAUGGUUGCCUACCAUGUACAAGGCCCUAGGUUCAAUCCCUUGCACUACCA
rnacentral:tRNA from 1 species